rnacentral:rRNA from 1 species
CCUACGGGGCGCAGCAGUGGGGAAUAUUGGGCAAUGGGCGCAAGCCUGACCCAGCAACGCCGCGUGAAGGAAGAAGGCUUUCGGGUUGUAAACUUCUUUUCUCAGGGACGAAGCAAGUGACGGUACCUGAGGAAUAAGCCACGGCUAACUACGUGCCAGCAGCCGCGGUAAUACGUAGGUGGCAAGCGUUAUCCGGAUUUACUGGGUGUAAAGGGCGUGUAGGCGGGGACGCAAGUCCGAUGUGAAAACCACGGGCUCAACCUGUUGCCUGCCUUUUAUACUGUGUUUCUUGAGUUCUUGAGAGG